rnacentral:rRNA from 1 species
CCCUUAGAUGUUCUGGGCCGCACGCGCGCUACACUGAUGCAUUCAACGAGCCUAUCCUUGACCGACAGGUCCGGGUAAUCUUUGAAUCUGCAUCGUGACGGGGAUAGAUUAUUGCAAUUAUUAAUCUUCAACGAGGAAUGCCUAGUAGGCGCAAGUCAUCAGCUUGCGUCGAUUACGUCCCUGCCCUUUGUACACACCGCCCGUCGCUCCUACCGAUUGGGUGUGCUGGUGAAAUGUUCGGAUCGGCCGUUUGUCGCGGUUUCCGCGUCAUGUGGCUGAGAAGUUCAUUAAACCCUCCUACCUAGAGGAAGGAGAAGUCGUAACA